rnacentral:rRNA from 1 species
AUGAAGGGGAGCAGCUUGGUGUUCAUGGUUGCUCUUUUGUCCAUCGGCUAUCUUGCAGCCGCUGGACGGUGUCACCUCGUGGAAGAAAGGAGCCACGGAGACGGUGCUGGCAACGCAAGUGCUAAUGCUCCUGCAUUAGGCUCCUCAUUAGAUGAGAGCCAGGUUAUCACGAAAUUUUGUCUGGUUAGGGAUUGUAAGACUAAAGAGGUGCUCUGGACCGAGCCAUGCUUCUGCUGCCUUGUGUUGCCGGAACUUCCGUGUUGGCGUGAGCGAAGCGAGUGUCAAGCAAAGUGCCCGGCGUGCAACCCCAAGUGCUAG